UCAGCCGCCGCGGUAAAACCAGCACCUCGAGUGGUCAGGAGGUUUAUUGGGCCUAAAGCAUCCGUAGCCGGUUGCAUAAGUUUUCGGUUAAAUCUAUGCGCUUAACGUAUAGGCCGCCGAAAAUACUGUGCAGCUAGGGAGUGGGAGAGGUACACGGUACUCGAUAGGAAGGGGUAAAAUCCUUUGAUCUAUUGAUGACCACCUGUGGCGAAGGCGGUGUACCAGAACACGUUCGACGGUGAGGGAUGAAAGCUGGGGGAGCAAACCGGAUUAGAUACCCGGGUAGUCCCGGCUGUAAACGAUGCAGACUCGGUGAUGCAUUGGCUUGUGGCCAAUGCAGUGCCGCAGGGAAGCCGUUAAGUCUGCCGCCUGGGAAGUACGUACGCAAGUAUGAAACUUAAAGGAAUUGGCGGGGGAGCACA
rnacentral:rRNA from 1 species